rnacentral:tRNA from 1 species
ACUCUUGAAGGAAGUAUCAGACUGACACUAGAUCUCAUUCUAAUUGGGAUAUUUGGAGGCUUAUUCAUUGUUCCACUCAAUGCAAUGGUGC